rnacentral:rRNA from 1 species
AGGACGAACGCUGGCGGCGUGCUUAACACAUGCAAGUCACGGGGGCUCGCAAGAGCAACCGGCGAACGGGUGCGUAACACGUGAGCAACCUACCGAUUUGUGGGGGAUAGCCGGCCUAACGGCCGGGUAAUACCGCAUACGCUUUCCGGGUCUCCUGACCUGGUGAGGAAACCUCCGGGGCAAAGUCGAGGGGCUCGCGGCCUAUCAGCUAGUUGGCGAGGUCACGGCUCACCAAGGCGACGACGGGUAGC